rnacentral:rRNA from 1 species
UCGAGGAUCUUCGGCAAUGGGGGCAACCCUGACCGAGCGACGCCGCGUGUGCGACGAAGGCCUUCGGGUUGUAAAACACUGUCGAGGGGGAGAAAAGGGUAAAACCGUGAUCUAUCCCUGGAGGAAGCUCGGGCUAAGUUCGUGCCAGCAGCCGCGGUAAGACGAACCGAGCGAACGUUGUUCGGACUAACUGGGCUUAAAGGGCGCGUAGGCGGGCCGCCAAGUCCGAGGUGAAAUCCUCCGGCUCAACCGGAGAACUGCCGCGGAUACUGGAGGUCUCGAGGGUGGUAGGGGCACGCGGAACUAACGGUGGAGCGGUGAAAUGCGUUGAUAUCGUUAGGAACUCCGGUGGCGAAGGCGGCGUGCUGGACCACAUCUGACGCUGAGGCGCGAAAGCCAGGGGAGCAAACG